rnacentral:rRNA from 1 species
GAGGUUGGGAGAGGGAUGCGGAAUUCCAGGUGUAGCGGUGAAAUGCGUAGAUAUCUGGAGGAACACCGGUGGCGAAGGCGGCAUCCUGGACCAACACUGACGCUGAGGAGCGAAAGCCAGGGGAGCAAACGGGAUUAGAUACCCCGGUAGUCCUGGCCCUAAACGAUGAAUGCUUGGUGUGGCGGGUAUCGAUCCCUGCCGUGCCGAAGCUAACGCAUUAAGCAUUCCGCCUGGGGAGUACGGUCGCAAGGCUGAAACUCAAAGGAUUGACGG